AUGGCGCCUAGGACAACCAGGGAGGGGAGCGGAGGCGGAGGCGGCCGCGGCGGGGUGAGGCAGUACAACAGGUCCAAGGUGCCGCGCCUCCGGUGGACGAGCGCCCUGCACCGCUGCUUCGUCCACGCCAUUCACAGCCUCGGAGGCCACGACAGGGCGACUCCGAAGCGGGUUCUGCAGGUGAUGGGGGUGGGAGGGCUCACCAUUUCUCAUGUCAAAAGCCAUCUGCAGAUGUACAGGAACAUGAGGAAUGAUCUUGGAAUGCAAGGGAUGCAGCAAGUGCAACAGUCGGGCCAGGAGGAGCACACACGCUCAACAGGAGGAGCCAUGGAAGUCUGCACCGAUGAUGAUGGGGAGUGCCGUCUCCCCGGCUACGGCUCGCCAAAGCCUAGAAAGGAGCCGACGACGCUGCCGCUCCACCCGCAACUGAAAAGGAGGGCAUCUGAGACGGAGACAAGGGAGGAGGUGAGCGCGAGCCCCACGAGCCUGCUGAGAGUGCAAGGAGGAGGAAUAUGCGAGGGUAGGGGCAUGUCGUCGUCGUCCAGCCACGUACCGGCGGCAGCAGGUGGACACUACUACGUGCGUAUGGAUAUGAUGCAGGCGCAUGCCGUGCUUCAAGCGCCACCCAUGGCCGCGGCUCGUUUGGUGGAGCCCCGCCCUUCGAUGCCGCUGGGAAUAAAGCAGAAGCAGAAGCAUCGGCGAGAGCCCUGGAUGCCUACAACAAGGUUGCACCGCGACGGCGAACUCGCGGCCGCCUCCACGCUCGAAUUCUUGGGGUUCCUGGUGGCUCCGGGGCGUCAUCCUCCCCGUCCCCGUGCUGCCUGCUGCGAUGGCUACCCUAUUGAGGUCGGCAUGCCUCCUAACCGCCCGGCCGCAUACACGGCCAGCCGCACCGACGGUGUCCGUCCGUGCAGACCCGAGCCGCCAGGCAACGUCCUCGACGCCGGAUUCACGAAUUUGACUUUGGCCGGCGAACGCGACGGUGGCUGCUCGCUGUCGCUGGCGCUGGCCCUGUGCCCCGCCGGGGGCGGCGGCGCCGAGAGCAGCCUGCUCUCGUCGUCGACAGCCUCCUCGUCGUCGUCGUCGUCGGGGAGUCGGAUCAGCCUCGACCUGUCGCUGUCCACGCACGACUCGUAG
rnacentral:rRNA from 1 species